rnacentral:rRNA from 1 species
UAGGGAAUCUUCGGCAAUGGGGGCAACCCUGACCGAGCAACGCCGCGUGAGUGAAGAAGGUUUUCGGAUCGUAAAGCUCUGUUGUAAGAGAAGAACGUGUGUGAGAGUGGAAAGUUCACACAGUGACGGUAACUUACCAGAAAGGGACGGCUAACUACGUGCCAGCAGCCGCGGUAAUACGUAGGUCCCGAGCGUUGUCCGGAUUUAUUGGGCGUAAAGCGAGCGCAGGCGGUUUAAUAAGUCUGAAGUUAAAGGCAGUGGCUUAACCAUUGUGCGCUUUGGAAACUGUUAAACUUGAGUGCAGAAGGGGAGAGUGGAAUUCCAUGUGUAGCGGUGAAAUGCGUAGAUAUAUGGAGGAACACCGGUGGCGAAAGCGGCUCUCUGGUCUGUAUCUGACGCUGAGGCUCGAAAGCGUGGGGAGCAAACAGG